CAUUCUCCAAAUUUCGGGUUAGUUUAUUAUUAAAGUAAAAAAAAAAAUUUCUAUUUUGCACACAUUGAAAAACUUACUUUGAUUCACAUAAAAGUUCAUUUAUUUUUGAAUAAAAAUAUAAAACAAUAAUAACGAAUCAUUCCCUCAUUUUAUUAUUAUUAUUAUUUUUUUUUUUUUUUAUAAAAAUAACUAUAUUAACAAAUUCUGAUGGAUCAAGAUAGUCUCAAAAAGGAGAAUACAAAAGUUACCAUAAAACUUGCAUAAAUAUAGAAAGAUUAAUCAUAAACCCCACGCCAAAAAAGAAUUGUCUCCAAAAAUCCGCACUUUUUCGUAGAAAUCUAAUUAUAAUUUAUUCCUUGACUUUUCAGUGUUUGAAUUUACCAAUUCAAUAAUGCUCUUCGAACAGGACAAAUGUCAUGGGUAAUUGAUAAGGUGGGGUUCGAGGGUGUAUUUUCUAACACUGUCCAAUCAUAUGUUGACACGUAUCCCAUCCUUAAUUGAUUCCAUCAUCGUGUCUGUCACUAUAGCAAGAUUGUUACAAAUUUAUCAAAAUUGUAUCUAAUGUUAUUGAUUGAAAAUAUUUGUCAUUAAUACUUAAGUGUACGUUUGACAAUUAUUAUUUCAUAACUCUUUAUUUUACAUAUUUAUUUUUAACUACACAUUCACAUAAUAAAAUAUUCUGCACGUACACCCAAAAUUUUUCCUUACUUUUUAAUCUUGCAUUAUUUAAAAAUUCACUAUUAAAAACUUUAUUUUUGCUAAAUAAUGACAAUCAAACAGGAGCUUAACAUUCUCUACUAUAUUCAAUAUUUAUUUAUUUUGUCAAUAUGUCUACGUCCACGAGUCGUUACGCUCGUAUUUCAGGACACAUGCCAAUUGGUGGAUAGCCUCGUCCAAUUACAAACUCACAUGACGUGCAUCCUCUAGCGCCAAAACAUGUAUAAAUUAGUUUACAUAAUAGAAUUUGUUGUUUGAUGUUAGAUUUUUCUUCCCAUGUUCACAUGAUUCACUCCCCAUCGAGUUACAUGCCGAAUUGCUUUUGCAAGAAAAUAACCUCCUAUUUGAUGGAUAUUAAAAUUAAAUUUUUAAUAAAUCUUGAUAAAAAUUUUUGAAAUAUAUGGCUGACAAGUUGUGAGACCCAUAAAAAUAUGUAGUUAAUAUUAAUUAUUGGACUUAGACCUUGUCUGAUUCCCAUUUUUCUAAAAAUUAGAAUGAAAAAUAUAUUCGUUACGAAAUCCACAUAAGAGAUAGAAAGUCAAAUAUGGUGACAUGAUAUAAUGAACAACAAUCAUAUUUUUCAUUUUUGUGACCAAAUAAUGAGAAUUAAACGGGGGCUUAAAUUAAAAUUUAAUUUAAAUUAAUACCAAAGAGGGGUUAAAUAACUUAAAAAAUAUUUAUCCUUAAGCACAUGGAUAGGGAUGGCAACAUGGUGAGUUCGGGGUGGGGUGCCCACCCCACUCCUGUCUCGCCCAAACCUCGCCCCGCCCCACCAGGACAGGGUGGGCAUGGGGCAAUUUUUUCCCUCAUUUGUUGUCCCACUUAAUUUAUUUUUUUUAACUUUUUGUAUUUUUAACAUUUUCAAAAUUUCGAGUUAUGUCAUUAUUAGAAAAUAAAAUACAAAUUCAAAAUAUGUUUUUAACAGGUGAAUUGUAUAGAAAUAAAUUAUUUUUAAUCUUUUAAGGGUGGAUUAGGGGGGCAUCCUCCCCCUCAUCCCACGACAGGGCGCCCCGCCCUACCAAUCAGUUCGAGGCAGGUUUUUUCCCCAUUCGGGGCGAAACUUUUUUGCCAUCACUACACACGAAUUCUUGGAGUCACGACUUAUACUGAAACAAUUCUGCAUUUUCCAUACUGAGAAGAUUGGAGUUUAAGUGCAUCACGUCUAAAACGCGUGUUUGGUUGAAACUGUAGAAAUAGGAGGGAGAGUUAUAACAGAAAAAAAUCCGGGGUCACGCAAUUAAUCAUUACUCUGAUAUUCAACUACCCUCCCUCCACAGCCCUCUCUUCGGCAGUGAAAUUCGCGGUCAAGUAAAAACAUUGUCAGUGUCAGAAUCUAGAGAGAGAGAAUAUUUCCAUCCAGCGGAUCGGUGAUGGCUUCUUCCUCAGAUCGCGAAACCUUCGUUUACCUUGCCAAGCUCGCCGAGCAAGCCGAACGCUACGAUGGUAAAUCACUCACCCUCGCACAAUUUUUUGGAGAAAUUGAACUUGUGUUAGCCAAUAUCUUGUUCGAGAUACGGACCGAUGAUUAAUUACUAAUUAGAAGGGGCUAAGUUGCAAUCAGCCUUUUAAUUUCGCUUUGUAAGUUAGUAUUUGACUUGAGCUUUAAGGAAUUCAUUAAUUUUUUACUGUAUGUGAUAUAUUCUAAUUUUAAUUAUUCUUUUUGUUAGAAUUGAGAUUUUUCGUAGCUUCUAUUGAACGAAUUAUUUGAAAUCUUUCAAUAUUUUUUUCUUCAAUUUGCUUGUGUCUUUGGUGAUUCAAAUAGUUUAUUAGACAAUUGGAUUUCAUUUUUCUCGUAUCUUGUGAAUAUUGCAUUUUCAUUUGUUGUGUAAUCAAUACAGAAUGAAAAAUAAGCACAAAUCUGAUUUUCUUACAGAGAUGGUGGAAGCGAUGAAGAAGGUGGCAAAGAUGGAUGUGGAGUUGACAGUGGAGGAGAGGAACUUGCUGUCGGUGGGGUACAAGAAUGUGAUUGGGGCUCGGAGAGCUUCAUGGAGAAUCUUAUCUUCGAUAGAACAGAAGGAGGAAUCCAGAGGCAAUGAGCAGAAUGCUAAGCGGAUCAAGGAGUACCAGCAGAAGGUGGAGUCAGAGCUCACCAACAUUUGCAGUGACAUCAUGACUGUCAUCAAUGAGCAUCUCAUUCCUUCAUGUACAGCUGGCGAGUCGACCGUGUUUUACUACAAGAUGUGAGAAUGGUCUUACCCCUCAGUUAUGUUUGAGUGUGACUUUUUGUUUUAUUAGGAGGUUGAAUGGUUUCUGUUGUUUGCAGGAAAGGGGAUUAUUAUAGGUAUCUUGCAGAGUUUAAGACUGGUAAUGAGAGGAAAGAAGUUGCUGAUCAGUCACUGAAGGCAUAUGAGGUAUAUUCUUAAUGUUUUGGGAAUCCAUAAAGCAUAUUGCUUGAGUUCUAUUAUCAGGUAACGUAUUCCACCCGACUUGAUAUAUUGACUGAAAUCCUUUCUUCAAGAAUGCAUAGAAGACUGGAUGGGCAGGACAUAAAUUUGUCUUGGUGGAGAGACAUCAUGUUUGUGGCUCUCGAUGUGUGCCUGACUGUGGUACUUAGGUUUUAUUCAUCUAACAGGAAUUCUAAUUUGUCCUCCAUUCCCUUUAAAGAUAUCGCAAGAGACAUUAUUAAGUUAGGGAAACAAGAAUAGGUCUUAGAAGCAUAUAGGAAUCUUUGCCCAAGAAAGUUGAAAUUCACUAUGUGCCGCUAUCAGUGUUGCAGUGUUGAUCACUCUAUAAAAAUACGUUCACCCAGCUCGUAGUGAUACUAAAGGACAAUAGCAUUAAUUUUAUUUAGUGUAGAGGAAGUAUCUACUGCUUAAGGAUUUGUGCAAAGGCAAGGAUGUGGUGCUUCUUCUCAUCUUUCAGAAAGCUAUUAAAUUUCAUUGCACAAGAUGAUAAAUGUAUUCCAAAUGUUUGACUCAAAAUUACAGAGGUGUACUUGCUUGUAUUUUCCUUAUCAUUCUCAUUCCUUGACUUCUCGAGUUGAUUUGCCUCCGAGCUCAUGAUUUACCACUUUACAUGUCUUGAAAAUUGGGAACCCUGGAUCUUAAUUUGGUAGAGUAGCUUCAUUGCUUCUAUGAUAGUGUUACUUUUGCAUUGUUUGAAAAGAAUUCAGUGAAGCCAUAUAUCAACUUUUUUGGGAGCGUUUUAGGAGCUCUGGCUUUGUGGAUAUCUUAAUGAACUUUCUUCAUUGUUUAGUGAUAUCAAUUUACUCUGAGUCUCUGUCAGUGUGCGUGGGCGUUUUUGUGCAUGCACAUACUUACUUGUACUUCUGGAAUCUGCUUGCAGACAGCGACCACCACAGCCGAGACUGAGUUGCCUCCGACACAUCCCAUUCGUUUGGGUUUGGCAUUGAAUUUUUCUGUCUUUUACUAUGAAAUUAUGAAUUCACCCGAGAGGUUUGUCUUUUACAGUCAUUGUGUUGAUUCCAAUUUUUUUUUCACAUUAUAGUACUCAACAAUCUUUUUUAUUGCAGAGCUUGUCAUCUUGCUAAGCAAGCUUUUGAUGAAGCAAUCUCCGAGCUGGACAAUUUAAAUGAGGAGUCAUACAAAGAUAGCACCUUGAUUAUGCAGCUUCUUAGGGACAAUCUCACAUUGUGGACCUCUGAGAUUCCGGAGGAUGCAGGUACAAUGGCAGUUAUCACAAUAUUACAUGACUCAAAUCUUACUGCAUUUUAAUUGAUUGCUUUUGACCACAGAUUUUAGUUGGUUAUGGGGUGUAUAUUCCCCUGCCUAGGAUUUGAGCGAUCACUGCAAUUUGUAAGAGGAGUGAAUAAAAGUGCACUAUAUAUAUAUUCAGAUUAAUAAGUCUAAUUAAAUGAUAUUUACUUUGAAGGAACUUUCUGAUCUCUUCAUAUUGGCAUCACAAAUUUUGAGAGGUGUUGCCUACUUCAUAAUAUUUCUGCAAACGUCUACCAUGUGAUUUAUUAUAUUAAUAUAAAAUGGUUUGUUUCAUAUAAUGUAUGACAGACAUAUAUUUAAGGGUAAGGAAGUGCAGAACUAAGGAAAUAUGCUUCUACAAGGCUGAAACCUCAGUUUUUAUACAUGAUGAUAUCAUGUCUUUGAGAGGGAAAUGAUAAACAUUAUGGAAACCAACAAGUUAAAUUUUGAAUGUGAUAAUAAAUAAUCCAUGAAAUGUUACAUUUUUCUAACUUUGUUCUGAUUUCCUUUUGUGUGCCUGACAGAAGAAGCACAAAAACUGGAUGCUGCCAAGAAAGCUGGAGAGGGUUCGGAGGUAGGCUGCUUUCGUUUCCUAUAAUUUAUAUGAACUUAUUACACGACUUGAAAUAAAAUAAAAUAAUUUGUGGGUUCAAUCUUUUCGUUGCAGUGAAUCAUCCGAAUGUCAGUUUGGGGGAGGGAGGAUGAUGAUGAUGCAACACACCCCCAGAAUACUUGUUUUUCAUCGCGUGUCUUUGUUAUGGUUUAAUAGUCUGCCUACCCAUCUUCCUUUAUUGAAUGGAGUAGUGUGUGAUUAAACAGGUGGUGUUAUUUUUUCAAUUACUACCUUAGCCUAGAUGGAAGAUUUGUGUGUACUCUCUCUCAGAUUGUUGUCUCUAGAUGCAACUUCUUGUGGAUUUUCCCAACUUAUUCUCAUCAAAGUUUAUGAAUAUGGAAUAUUUAGCUAACGCGGCAAGUGGCCUCCGAGAAUACAAGUUUACAAGAAUGAAACUGGGAAUAAAUGACCUAAAAAUAUAAACGUGAUUUGAUUCGAUUUCCAUUCUGGUUGUGAUUGAGAUGUAAGCCUCCAACGUUUGUUUAAAGAAAAAGUUUAAAAUAAAGGGCUUUCUUGAAUGGGAACCUGCAUCAUUGGUCCCUAUCUCGUCUAACUUGGUAAAAUUGUACAAAGUAGUUCUCAACAAUUCAAAAUUCGUCAACUUGGCAGGACCAGUGGGCAGAAUUGUGCUUCAGUUUGGUUUAUAUAAAAAUUGAUUUUUUAA
rnacentral:sRNA from 1 species